UCUGAUUUUUGGUGUUUACGG
rnacentral:siRNA from 1 species